UGAAGUCGACGGUAACAUUGAUGCUUGCAUCAGAUGACGAGUGGCGCACGGGUGAGUAACGCGUAUACAAUCUACCUUUUACAGGGGGAUAGCCUUUAGAAAUGAAGAUUAAUAUCCCAUAGUAAGUAGUUUUGGCAUCAAGACAACUUUAAAGUUUCGGCGGUAAAAGAUGAGUAUGCGUUCUAUUAGUUAGUUGGUAAGGUAACGGCUUACCAAGACCACGAUAGAUAGGGGCCCUGAGAGGGGGAUCCCCCACACUGGUACUGAGACACGGACCAGACUCCUACGGGAGGCAGCAGUGAGGAAUAUUGGACAAUGGGCGCGAGCCUGAUCCAGCCAUGCCGCGUGCAGGAAGACUGCCCUAUGGGUUGUAAACUGCUUUUAUACAGGAAGAAACCUUUUCACGUGUGAAAAGCUGACGGUACUGUAAGAAUAAGGAUCGGCUAACUCCGUGCCAGCAGCCGCGGUAAUACGGAGGAUCCAAGCGUUAUCCGGAAUCAUUGGGUUUAAAGGGUCCGUAGGUGGAUAAUUAAGUCAGGGGUGAAAGUUUGCAGCUCAACUGUAAAAUUGCCUUUGAUACUGGUUAUCUUGAAUUAUUGUGAAGUGGUUAGAAUAUGUAGUGUAGCGGUGAAAUGCAUAGAUAUUACAUAGAAUACCAAUUGCGAAGGCAGAUCACUAACAAUAUAUUGACACUGAUGGACGAAAGCGUGGGGAGCGAACAGGAUUAGAUACCCUGGUAGUCCACGCCGUAAACGAUGGAUACUAGCUGUUCGGUUUUCGGACUGAGUGGCUAAGCGAAAGUGAUAAGUAUCCCACCUGGGGAGUACGUUCGCAAGAAUGAAACUCAAAGGAAUUGACGGGGGCCCGCACAAGCGGUGGAGCAUGUGGUUUAAUUCAAUGAUACACGAGGAACCUUACCAGGGCUUAAAUGUAGAUUGCAUUAGGGUGAAGACACUUAUUUCUUCGGACUAUCUACAAGGUGCUGCAUGGUUUGUCUUCAGCUC
rnacentral:rRNA from 2 species